GAAGCACAUUUCUUGUGUGACCGCGUACUUUUUGUAGAACGGGCCAACGAGUUACGUUAAGUAGCAAGGUUAAGCACUUAAGGUGCGGAGCCGUAGCGAAAGCGAGUUUUAACUGAGCGUUCAGUUAUUUGACGUAGACCCGAAACCGGGCGACCUACCCAUGAGCAGGAUGAAGCGAAAGUAAAAUUUCGUGGAGGUCCGAACCCACGAGCGUUGAAAAGCUCGGGGAUGACUUGUGGGUAGCGGUGAAAUUCC
rnacentral:rRNA from 1 species